rnacentral:rRNA from 1 species
GACGAACACUGGCGGCGUGCUUAACACAUGCAAGUCGAGCGGAGCGGCGAACGGGUGAGUAACGCGUGAGUAACUGCCCCCCUCCCUGGGAUAACAGUUGGAAACGGCUGCUAAUACCGGAUAGUGGGGGAUGACUCGCGUCCUAUCAGCUUGUUGGUGGGGUAGUGGCCUACCAAGGCGACGCCGGGUAGCCGGCCUGAGCAGGGGACCAGCCACAGUGCGCUGAGAUACGGACCAAACGCGUACGGGAGGCAGCGGUGGGGAAUAUUGCGCAAUGGGGGAAAGCCUGAUGCAGAAACGCCGCGGGCGGGAUGACGGCCUGGGGGGUGUGAAGCGCUUAAAGCCAUGACGCGGUAGUGGCAGAAGAAGCACCGGCUAACUACGUGCCAGCAGCCGCGGUAAUAC